rnacentral:rRNA from 1 species
CUAACCGGGGCGACCGGGGACCACGGGUCGUAAGGAUUCAUGGACUGGGGUG